UACGGGGGGAGCGAACGUUGUUCGGAAUUACUGGGCGUAAAGCGUGCGCAGGCGGUUAUGUAAGACAGGUGUGAAAUCCCCGGGCUUAACCUGGGAACUGCAUUUGUGACUGCAUAGCUAGAGUACGGUAGAGGGGGAUGGAAUUCCGCGUGUAGCAGUGAAAUGCGUAGAUAUGCGGAGGAACACCGAUGGCGAAGGCAAUCCCCUGGACCUGUACUGACGCUCAUGCACGAAAGCGUGGGGAGCAAACAGG
rnacentral:rRNA from 1 species